rnacentral:tRNA from 1 species
GGGCGGGGCCGCGGGGCUUGUACGCGGUAGUGCAAAGUCAUGCGACAAUCAUUGGCUUGUGCAGGGCAGCGAUGCCUUGAGCGGCUGUAGCUCAGUGGAUAGAGUAUUGGCCUCCGAAGCCAAGGGUCGUGGGUUCGAUCCCCGCCAGCCGCGCCACAUUUUUCUUGGAUCGCCUCGGUGGCCUGAGAAAAAAAUGCACUGAAUUUUUUCAGACGAAAAAAACGGUGCUAGAAUUCAAAUCUCUUCGGAGGGGUGCCCGAGUGGCUAAAGGGGGCAGACUGUAAAUCUGUUGGCUUACGCCUACACUGGUUCGAAUCCAGUCCCCUCCACCA